CAGUCGCCACGGUAACACGAAGGGUGCAAGCGUUAAUCGGAAUUACUGGGCGUAAAGCGCGCGUAGGUGGUUUGGUAAGAUGGAUGUGAAAUCCCCGGGCUCAACCUGGGAACUGCAUCCAUAACUGCCUGACUAGAGUACGGUAGAGGGUGGUGGAAUUUCCUGUGUAGCGGUGAAAUGCGUAGAUAUAGGAAGGAACACCAGUGGCGAAGGCGACUACCUGGACUGAUACUGACACUGAGGUGCGAAAGCGUGGGGAGCAAACAGGAUUAGAUACCCGAGUAGUCCCUGUCUCUUAUAC
rnacentral:rRNA from 1 species